UCAAGAUAGCACCUGCUCCUUAGUUACAAAAAGUUCCUCACAGGAAAUUUUCAGGCGUGCCCAUAAAUCUCCUCGCUGUUUGUUUGGGAGAACAGGGUUUUCUCGUCUGUAACAGAAUAGUCGUGGCAUUUGCUAUGGAAUGCUGGUGGCAAUCUAGUCAGAAGAGGACCCCGUGCUUCACUAAUUUUCCCUUUUUGCUGUUGGGGGUGACUUCUUCCCAGGGAUGUUCUUCUUGACCCCCCGGGGCAAACGGAGGUGUCAGCGUCAGGAGCCAUCCUAACUGAGGCCCCGGCUCCCUCUUUCCCUUCGGUCGCCGUGGGUGUGCCGGACGCCUCUGGCAGGACUAACCCCGGGUCUUUUAUGUCCAGCGUGCUGUGCUGUGUGUGCCUGCAGUAUCCUGUCCAAGGCAAAGCUACCUUUCUUUCCUCGUGGGAAUGGACCGGCCGGGCUUUGGCAAUCUGGCCCCUCGAAAGACUAAAGUGACCUCUUCCAGCAGGGGAAGACUGAAGCAAGGGGUGCCAGGAAGAACUGGAGUCUCUGGAGAAUAAAAGCUGGAAGCGUGCCCCCGAAAAUCCCCAGCCCCGGGUGGUCAGUGGUCUGACUUGCACGGACCGGUGGCCUUGGCCAGGAGCGGUCCUGCGGGAAGCGCCUUUGCCCAGGCUGUAAUUUUAAUUUUCUCUUGGAUGCUUGGCAAAGCCCCCCUGGGUGAGCCCCAGUGCCUGGCAGGAGCGGAGCGGGCUUGCAGGGAGGCAUUCACCCGGUCAGCGUCAGGAACCAUCCUAACUGAGGCCUCGGCUCCCUCUUUCCCUUUGGUCGCCGUGGGUGUGCCGGACGCCUCUGGCAGGACUAACCCCGUGGCUUUUAUGUCCAGCGUGCUGUGCUGUGUGUGCCUGCAGGUGACGAAGCUUAUGGAAAAAAAGACCAAAGGCCUCGAGGGAUGUUCUUCUUGACCCCCCGGGGCAAACGGAGGUGUCAGCGUCAGGAGCCAUCCUAACUGAGGCCCUGGUAGGCUCCCUCUUUUCCUUCGGUCGCCGUGGGUGUGCCGGACGCCUCUCUGGCAGGACUAACCCCGUGGCUUUUAUGUCCAACGUGCUGUGCUGUGUGUGCCUGCAGUAUCCUGUCCAAGACAAAGCUACCUUUCCCUCGUGGGAAUGGACUGGUCGGGCUUUGGCAAUCUGGCCCCUCGAAAGUCUUAAGUGACCUCUUCCAACAGGGGAAGACUGAAGCAAGGGGUGCCAGAAAGAACUGGAGUUUCUGGAGAAUAAAAGCUGGAAGCGUGCCCCCGAAAAUCCCCAGCCCCGGGUGGUCAGUGGUCUGACUUGCACGGACCGGUGGCCUUGGCCAGGAGCGGUCCUGCGGGAAGCGCCUUUGCCCAGCCUGUAAUUUUAAUUUCCAUUGGCUGCUUGGCAAAGCCCCCCUGGGUGAGCCCCAGUGGCUGGCAUGAGCGGAGCGGGCUUCCAGGGAGGCAUUCACCCGGUCAGCGUCAGGAACCAUCCUAACUGAGGCCUCGGCUCCCUCUUUCCCUUCGGUCGCCGUGGGUGUGCCGGACGCCUCUGGCAGGACUAACCCCGUGGCUUUUAUGUCCAACGUGCUGUGCUGUGUGUGCCUGCAGUAUCCUGUCCAAGACAAAGCUACCUUUCCCUCGUGGGAAUGGACUGGGCGGGCUUUGGCAGUCUGGCCCCUCGAAAGACUAAAGUGACCUCUUCCAGCAGGGGAAGACUGAAGCAAGGGGUGCCAGAAAGAACUGGAGUUUCUGGAGAAUAAAAGCUGGAAGCGUGCCCCCGAAAAUCCCCAGCCCCGGGUGGUCAGUGGUCUGACUUGCACGGACCGGUGGCCUUGGCCAGGAGCGGUCCUGUGGGAAGCGCCUUUGCCCAGGCUGUAAUUUUAAUUUCCAUUGGCUGCUUGGCAAAGCCCCCCCUGGGUGAGCCCCAGUGGCUGGCAUGAGCGGAGCGGGCUUCCAGGGAGGCAUUCACCUGGUCAGCGUCAGGAACCAUCCUAACUGAGGCCUCGGCUCCCUCUUUCCCUUCGGUCGCCGUGUGUGUGCCGGACACCUCUGGCAGGACUAACCCCGGGGCUUUUAUGUCCAACGUGCUGUGCUGUGUGUGCCUGCAGAAUUGCCACGAGAGGAAAUACUUCAGAGGGGCUUCCCUCCAGAUAAGCCCUGAAUGUGCCAGGAGGUUUCAGCCGGGAGGAAAGGAGCUGUGGAAGAAAAGCAGCCUGAAAAUAGCCAGCAGGGAUCAUCAGAUUUUCCAGGCAAGAAGAACAAGGAGAGAGAGAUGAGGGAAUCGGGUUCCAAUUCCUAAUGAUUUGGUGGGUGCAGGAAUGAUUUGUGUGUGUUUUCCAGUCCCUUUUGAUUCCUGAGAUGAUUUUAAACUGAUGGCUUUAGCAAUCAACUAAAUCGGAGAUGUUGUUUUUGAGAGGAAAUGGUGCCAAAUAAAUGCAGAGUUUUGGGUCA